rnacentral:lncRNA from 1 species
GGUAUCAUAACUCUUCGUGUUCACACCUAAUUUCCUUUACCAGAUUAUGUAUUCCAGAGUUGUUACAACUCUUUCUUUAAACUUCAAUAACCAAUACAAUGUUUUGCCGGUUGUGAGUGCUCAAACAAGGAUGAAUGAAUAAAUGUGUAUCUUUUAAUUCCCAAAGUCUGCUGAUAUGUAAGUCUUGGUGCUUUUGUAAUAAAAAUACAUGAAUCUCAUGUAAUCAAAGAUUCUGUAAGAUAAAAUAACUUACACUGUGUUCUCCACUCAUGGUAUUUGUCUCUGGAGAAUCCUGACAUGUUCCUGUUUAAAAUGUCAAUUUUCCAAGAAGUGAACUGUUUCAAAAUACUAGCAUGAUCUCUU